GCUGGGAUGGCGGAAUUGGCAGACGCACUACUUUGAGGGGGUAGCGCCGCAAGGUGUGGGGGUUCAAAUCCCCCUCCCAGCACCA
rnacentral:tRNA from 1 species